rnacentral:rRNA from 1 species
AUUGUACGCUGGCGGAAUGCUUUACACAUGCAAGUCGAACGGCAGCACGGGUGCUUGCACCUGGUGGCGAGUGGCGAACGGGUGAGUAAUGCACCGGAACGUAUCCAAUAAUGGGGGAUAACGCACCGAAAGGUGUGCUAAUACCGCAUACGCCCUGAGGGGGAAAGCGGGGGAUCGUAAGACCUCGCGUUAAUGGAGCGGCCGAUGCCGGAUUAGCUAGUUGGUGAGGUAAAGGCUCACCAAGGCGACGAUCCGUAGCUGGUCUGAGAGGACGACCAGCCACACUGGAACUGAGACACGGUCCAGACUCCUACGGGAGGCAGCAGUGGGGAAUUUUGGACAAUGGGCGAAAGCCUGAUCCAGCCAUGCCGCGUGUAGGAUGAAGGCCUUCGGUUGUAAACUAGCUUUGUACGGUAACGAAAAGACUACCUUCUAACUAAAGGGGUACCGAUAGACGGUACCGUAAGAAUAAGACACCGG